UACGUAGGGGGCAAGCGUUGUCCGGAUUUAUUGGGCGUAAAGAGCGUGUAGGCGGCUGGGUAGGUCCGUUGUGAAAACUCGAGGCUUAACCUCGAGAUGUCAUCGGAAACCAUUUGGCUAGAGUCCGGAAGAGGAAAGUGGAAUUCCUGGUGUAGCGGUGAAAUGCGCAGAUAUCAGGAAGAACACCAAUGGCGAAAGCAGCUUUCUGGGACGGUACUGACGCUGAGACGCGAAAGCGUGGGGAGCGAACAGG
rnacentral:rRNA from 1 species